UACGUAGGGUGCAAGCGUUUAUCCGGAAUUAUUGGGCGUAAAGAGCUCGUAGGCGGUUUGUCGCGUCUGCUGUGAAAACUGGAGGCUCAACCUCCAGCCUGCAGUGGGUACGGGCAAACUAGAGUGCGGUAGGGGAGAUUGGAAUUCCUGGUGUAGCGGUGGAAUGCGCAGAUAUCAGGAGGAACACCGAUGGCGAAGGCAGAUCUCUGGGCCGUAACUGACGCUGAGGAGCGAAAGCAUGGGGAGCGAACAGG
rnacentral:rRNA from 1 species